ACUUAAAUUGAAGAGUUUGAUCAUGGCUCAGAUUGAACGCUGGCGGCAGGCCUAACACAUGCAAGUCGAGCGGUAACACAGAGAGCUUGCUCUCGGGUGACGAGCGGCGGACGGGUGAGUAAUGUCUGGGAAACUGCCUGAUGGAGGGGGAUAACUACUGGAAACGGUAGCUAAUACCGCAUAACGUCGCAAGACCAAAGUGGGGGACCUUCGGGCCUCAUGCCAUCAGAUGUGCCCAGAUGGGAUUAGCUAGUAGGUGGGGUAAUGGCUCACCUAGGCGACGAUCCCUAGCUGGUCUGAGAGGAUGACCAGCCACACUGGAACUGAGACACGGUCCAGACUCCUACGGGAGGCAGCAGUGGGGAAUAUUGCACAAUGGGCGCAAGCCUGAUGCAGCCAUGCCGCGUGUAUGAAGAAGGCCUUCGGGUUGUAAAGUACUUUCAGCGAGGAGGAAGGCGUUAAGGUUAAUAACCUUGGCGAUUGACGUUACUCGCAGAAGAAGCACCGGCUAACUCCGUGCCAGCAGCCGCGGUAAUACGGAGGGUGCAAGCGUUAAUCGGAAUUACUGGGCGUAAAGCGCACGCAGGCGGUCUGUCAAGUCGGAUGUGAAAUCCCCGGGCUCAACCUGGGAACUGCAUUCGAAACUGGCAGGCUAGAGUCUUGUAGAGGGGGGUAGAAUUCCAGGUGUAGCGGUGAAAUGCGUAGAGAUCUGGAGGAAUACCGGUGGCGAAGGCGGCCCCCUGGACAAAGACUGACGCUCAGGUGCGAAAGCGUGGGGAGCAAACAGGAUUAGAUACCCUGGUAGUCCACGCCGUAAACGAUGUCGACUUGGAGGUUGUGCCCUUGAGGCGUGGCUUCCGGAGCUAACGCGUUAAGUCGACCGCCUGGGGAGUACGGCCGCAAGGUUAAAACUCAAAUGAAUUGACGGGGGCCCGCACAAGCGGUGGAGCAUGUGGUUUAAUUCGAUGCAACGCGAAGAACCUUACCUACUCUUGACAUCCAGAGAACUUAGCAGAGAUGCUUUGGUGCCUUCGGGAACUCUGAGACAGGUGCUGCAUGGCUGUCGUCAGCUCGUGUUGUGAAAUGUUGGGUUAAGUCCCGCAACGAGCGCAACCCUUAUCCUUUGUUGCCAGCGAUUCGGUCGGGAACUCAAAGGAGACUGCCAGUGAUAAACUGGAGGAAGGUGGGGAUGACGUCAAGUCAUCAUGGCCCUUACGAGUAGGGCUACACACGUGCUACAAUGGCAUAUACAAAGAGAAGCGACCUCGCGAGAGCAAGCGGACCUCAUAAAGUAUGUCGUAGUCCGGAUUGGAGUCUGCAACUCGACUCCAUGAAGUCGGAAUCGCUAGUAAUCGUAGAUCAGAAUGCUACGGUGAAUACGUUCCCGGGCCUUGUACACACCGCCCGUCACACCAUGGGAGUGGGUUGCAAAAGAAGUAGGUAGCUUAACCUUCGGGAGGGCGCUUACCACUUUGUGAUUCAUGACUGGGGUGAAGUCGUAACAAGGUAACCGUAGGGGAACCUGCGGUUGGAUCACCUCCUUACCUUAAAGAA
rnacentral:rRNA from 1 species